AAAAAUUACGGAAAACCGAAGCUUACCGGCAGUGGCGCUCUCGGGUGCGGCGGCUCUCCGGUGAGGUUCGUGUUUUGGUGAUUCAGCUCCGAUCAACCUGUAGAGAAAAGAAUGGUGAUCACGGUGAUAUAAAAAUUGCAUCAAACGGAGGCCGGGAAGGGCCUCAUCGAAGGCAAAAAUCGAGGAGGGGCGCGGCGGCGCCGCUGGGUUUUGGCCGUGUUUUUCGGCCGUUUGGCUGGGAUUUUGGCUCCGAUUUGGCCACAGGGGAAAUCAGCGUGGAAAAACGAGUCGGGGGUAUGAAAUUUACCUCGAUCGGUGGUCGGAAAUCUCCCCGGUGUGGCGGCGGGUGGCGGC
rnacentral:lncRNA from 1 species